UUUCCCUACGGGACGCAGCAGUGGGGAAUAUUGCACAAUGGGCGAAAGCCUGAUGCAGCAACGCCGCGUGAAGGAAGAAGGUCUUCGGAUCGUAAACUUCUGUCCUUGGGGAAGAUAAUGACGGUACCCUUGGAGGAAGCCCCGGCUAACUACGUGCCAGCAGCCGCGGUAAUACGUAGGGGGCAAGCGUUAUCCGGAUUUACUGGGUGUAAAGGGAGCGUAGGCGGUGCAGCAAGUCAGAAGUGCAAGCCCGGGGCUCAACUCCGGGACUGCUUUUGAAACUGUUGAACUAGAUUGCAGGAGAG
rnacentral:rRNA from 1 species